CCUCGGAAAACACCGUCUCGACCAGUCCUGCAGUAUUUACUUCUAGGUGUAACAUUGUUAAUGGUUUUAAAAUGUAAUUAUGGUAUUUGUAAAUCGUCCUCAUCCCCGUACGGCUGUACCUUGGCGGUUAGACACUUGAGUUGUAGCAUUCUACCAUUCAUGAAAUGGGUGUAACUUAAACCGUGGUAUAUAACUAAUAGUAGUCCUGUCGAAUGGCACGAUGCUUCCCGAGGUAGGUGACAUUGCGUCCAUGUAGAUACGGUCUGGAUACGAUGCCGAUAGCCGGGCGGGGGGGCCGGGACGCUGCUGCCGCCCUCCCCGGCGGGACCCUGCCGGAGCGGGCGCCGGGUUCCCGGCCCCAGGUCUGGGUUUGCUUUGCUUUUUCUGGUUUUUCUUCUUUUUUUUUGGUCCUCUUUUCUGCUCCUCUCCCGAAAGCCCCGCUGGCAGCACGGCGGUGGCCGUCACGGUGCCAGCGGCACGGUGUCUGCGAGUCCCCAGCUCUGCUUAACGCAGGAUUCGCCUAAAUGAAAAAUAUAUAUAUAUAUAUAUAUAUAUAUAUAUAUAUAUCUCCCUGCAAAGCUCAGCACUGCAGCCGGGCGCUCGCAGCCCUCGCAGUGACCCGGGGUAGUUUUCCCUGCCGCGGCCACGGCCGCCAGCCCUGGAAACGCGGGUUUUUGCAGAGUAACUGCUGCCAGAGCGUGGAUGUUUUGCUUCGGAUGUCGCUGGCAAGACACGGUGCUUACGCAGCGCUGGGUUUUUAAAUGCUUUUAAACAAAGCCAGUGGGUUUUGGAGCGCGGGGCGCGCAUGGCCCCAGACCCCCGAAUUUAGCAGUGCUGGGAUGCAAGUGUCUGGAUGGAAACGAGAGGAAGGGGACGUUUCGCUGAUAAGUGGGCUUGAUGCACAUGUGGGGGCUCGAGCCCGGCCACCCGGGAGGCUUUCCCUUUCCCCUUUCCCCUUUCCCCUUUCCCCUUUCCCCUUUCCCUUUUCCCCUUUCCCUUUUCCCCUUUCCCCUUUCCCUUUUCCCCUUUCCCUUUUCCCCUUUCCCUUUUCCCCUUUCCCUUUUCCCUUUCCCUUUUCCCCUUUCCCCUUCUCCCUUUCCCCUUCUCCCUUUCCCCUUCUCCCUUUCCCCUUCUCCCUUUCCCCUUCUUUCUCCCUUCUCCCUUCUCCCUUUCCCGGCGUGCAGCAGCCCCACGCUGCGCUCCCCGAUAGGAAACCGCUGUCUCAAAAGAGCGCAUCCCAUAGCCGGGAUUCUUCCUUUUUUUAAUUACUAUUUAUUUUAUUUUUUAUUUAUUUUAUUUAUWUCAUUUUAUUUAUYUCAUUUCAUGCCCYGCUUUUCCCUGCGCSUCGAGGAGGAGCGGCGUCCCCGUGGCGCGGGGCCCCGGGCGGCUGUCGGCAUCGUGGUUCUCCCUCCUUCCCGGGGCUGGAAACGCGGGGCCGGGACCCCCCCCCCGGCUUCGGGGGGCUUCGGCCGCCGGCUCGCCCAGCCUAUCGCUCUAUAUAAGCUAUAUCCUUUUAUCCCGUGUAUAAAAUGUUUAUAAAUAUUUGUGGAUUAAGAGACACAGGUCUAUUUUUAAGCUCUGGGUGGGAGGAGGUCACGGCCGGCCUUUCCCCCCCAAACGUGCAAUGAGGAACGUGAUACCCGGCGCCCGUGUGCUGACCGCUGGUAGCCCGAAUGUGUUGUAUCGGCUUGUUGAAGAUAAUCACGAAGCGACAUAUUUUAAAUGUUAACUUGCCUUAUAGAUUAGGAGACGACUAUGUGGAUAUCAUUUUUUUGUAAAUACUGUUUUUUAUAAAUGUCUUUCCUCCAUUCGCCCCCCCCGCCCAUUCCACGAAAUCUUGAAUAUGCAAUUAUUUAACGUGCAUAACACUGCAAUGAAUAAGCCCCCCCUUCAGAACAAAGUUUAUUAAUUCUGUCCAUAAGAACCGCAUUAAAUACCCAGUUAAGUUGUAAUUUAAAUGUGAUUUUUUUUUCCUUGAAAUUAAACGAAAACCUGAAAAUACCAUUCCCUCUGUGUCGGUUUUGCUUCCCCGUGCGCCAGGGGCUGUGCCG
ensembl:lncRNA